rnacentral:rRNA from 1 species
AGGAAAAGAACUAACAAGGAUUCCCCUAGUAACUGCGAGUGAAGCGGGAAAAGCUCAAAUUUAAAAUCUGGUGGUCUCGGCCAUCCGAGUUGUAAUCUAGAGAAGUGCUACCCGCGCUGGUCCGUGUACAAGUCUCUUGGAACAGAGCGUCAUAGAGGGUGAGAAUCCCGUCUCUGACACGGGCUUCCAGUGCUUAUGUGGUGCGCUCUCAAAGAGUCGAGUUGUUUGGGAAUGCAGCUCAAAAUGGGUGGUAAACUCCAUCUAAAGCUAAAUAUUGGCGAGAGACCGAUAGCGAACAAGUACCGUGAGGGAAAGAUGAAAAGAACUUUGGAAAGAGAGUUAAACAGUACGUGAAAUUGUUGAAAGGGAAACGCUUGAAGUCAGUCGCGUUGGUAGAGGAUCAACCUGCCUCCUGGUGGGAGCACUUCUCUGUUGACGGGUCAGCAUCAAUUUUGACCGGUGGAUAAAGGUUGGGGGGAAUGUGGCAUCUUCGGAUGUGUUAUAGCCCCUGGUCGCAUACAUCGGUUGGGAUUGAGGAACUCAGCACGCCGCAAGGCCGGGGUACGCCCACGUACGUGCUUAGGAUGCUGGCAUAAUGGCUUUAAUCGACCCGUCUUGAAACACGGACCAAGGAGUCUAACAUGCCUGCGAGUGUUUGGGUGGAAAACCCGAGCGCGUAAUGAAAGUGAAAGUUGAGAUCUCUGUCGUGGAGAGCAUCGACGCCCGGACCAGACCUUUUGUGACGGAUCCGCGGUUGAGCAUGUAUGUUGGGACCCGAAAGAUGGUGAACUAUGCCUGAAUAGGGUGAAGCCAGAGGAAACUCUGGUGGAGGCUCGUAGCGAUUCUGACGUGCAAAUCGAUCGUCGAAUUUGGGUAUAGGGGGCGAAAGACUAAUCGAACCAUCUAG